UGUCCAGCAGUUGGUAGAGCAGGAGACUCUUUAUCUCAGGGUCGUGGGUUCGAGCCCCGUGCUGGACAA